AUUAUGUGUAGUAAAACAAGUUGGAAUGACAAAGACAAGUGUGGGGUAUUUGCAUAGAGAUGAUUUGACUAAGUAAAAUGCUUAUAAAACUAUUGGGCAUUAAUAAACAGAAAUUUCUGAAGUGAAGAGAGAAAGAAGAGGCAGGAUAGGUCAAAGGAGAUAUAGGGGAUGCUGGUGGAGAAAAAUGCUAGACAUAGAAAAUUUACAACACUCACUGUAUAGAUACUUAAAAUUGUGAGAUUGGUUGACGUCAUCAAGGAAAGGGUGCAGAUACGGAGGGGGUCCAUGAAUCCAUUCCUCAUACUCUCGUGAAGUAUUACCAUGUUUGAACCGAGGGCAGAAAACUCCUUGAGAAGGUUGUGAUUCAUGGUGGUCUACAUGCCCAGCUCUAAAACCAUCAUACAGCCAUUGAGCUGGCGUCCUGUAACCAGCCUGACUUGGGUCACAUGCCCAGCUCUGGGACAAUGCGAUCAGCAGUAUGCCCACUGCAGCCACCUUGGAUCUUCCAACACUGCUUCCCUAUGAGGGGGGCAACAAUGUAGAAGAGCAGGACCAACCAGAGGGACCGAGUCCUUGGCUGCAACUCCCCACAACAUCUCCAGUGUCCUGACUGUGAAUCUAAGACUGUGUGAACCACCUAGCCUGUCACUGUUGCUGUGAAAACAGAGUCCAUAACCACUCAAUGAGAACAGCCUUCAUCUUGUCUCUUUUAGAUUUCUAUUUUUGUGAAUGUGGCCAAAUAUCAAGUUAGUUAUUAGGAAUGAUUCUAACCACACCUUUCAUACACAUUGAUUACCAUAAAGGAAAAUUCCAAA